AUAGCAAUGAUAUUCUACUAAUCAUGAUACUAUGCUUCAACAAUAAUGGAAAUGAGCUACUACAUAGUGAUGUAUCUACAACUAUGCCUCGAUAGUAUCCAAUCUCAUGGCUAACCCGAAGGUUGCCAAAGUUCUGUUAUGUAUGCAAACUAUAUAUGAAAUGCCAUGAUCAUGCCUAUGUCAAAUCCAAACGAUUCGCCCGAAGGUCGAAUCACUCGCCACACAUACUGUCACGUGACCGUGACCGUCUGCCGAGGGCGCACCGUCGUGACUCUCUCCCCCGUCUUAAUCUCAUUGUGAUACAACUCCGGAGCUCACUGCUUGGGAGGCGCGACCAUCCACAAGCUUUAACAGACAAUGCGAGUAUGAUUAAGUCCUCUCAAGAGGAUACCCUAUCUACAAGGGUCAAUGUGCCUCAACUGCACUAAUGCCAAAUGCAUAAUGUCUACAACAUGACAAUAGGAAAAAUCUACUAUCCCAAGGUUCAAAUGCCAUAGUGUUUCACUACACUAGAUUUGAUGCCACUCAUUUAUGUCAUGAUGUUAUAUGUGCCUCAAUACACUAAAUUGACAUGCCACUUGUUCACAUUAUAGUAUCUCUACUAUACUAAUUCAAUGUCGCUUGUUUUCCUCAUCACAAGUCCAAGUUCAUCAUCAUUCUUGUCACUAUAGGAUUCUUGUCACAUGACCCAAUCCUCAUGCAACCUAAGUUCAAGUGUCAAGCCCAUAAUGCUACACUACCAUAGGAACAUGCAAGGAAAUGGAAUGUAAUCAUCUACUAAUCCUAUAAUGCACAAUAUCAAUAUAUGAAUAUGAUCAAAAUAAAACUUAGACAUAAAAGGAAGCCCGGAUGUUUCGGUAUGACACCCCCCACCUUUUAUCGCUAUCAGGAGGCUAGGGUUCCGAUUUCGUGAUUUUUGGAAGCUUUCGCCGCAAGCUGCGGUAAUCUGUACCUUAACGGCUUCGUUCUUUAAUAUCUUCGCGUAGCCUCGUCGUAUCGCCAAACCGACUUCGCCAUCGCGUCAGAAAACCUAGCAAUUAGGUUUAUACAUGAUCAAUUUAGAUCAAAACCCCUCACAAGCAAAACCCCUCUUUUAAUGCCCUAAGAUGUAACUAUGCAAGAAUUCAUCAUUUGAUCUUUAAAUUCGAGCAUCAAUCAUCUAUUUAGCAUCUAGGAGUUUCACUAAAUCCAUUUCUAGGGCAUAUAAAUCACUACUUUGCAAUCUACCACUGUUGCUAUCAAAGCUUACCUCUCAAACCCAUGCUCUCUUCAAGCCAAUGGUGAAGAAAAGAAAGCUUCACCUCUAAGCAAGCUUUUUCCUUCUCCAAAUCCACCUCCAAUUUCUCUCUUUGGUGGAGAAAUUGCUAGAGAGAGAGAGAGAGAUCUUUCUCUUUGGUUGCAAAUGUGAGGGAAUGAGAGAAAAGGCUCAAUCCUUCAUAUAUAUAUGUAUAUAGGAAACUUGGCCUCCAAGUUUCAUAGGAAACUUGACCUCCAAGUUAUCCAAGAACACUAUUCACUCCAGGCAGUUCCAAAUCCGAUAUCUUUCGCCGGAACUCCCUGAACAUCCGUUUGAGCUCAAAUUUGAUAGUCAUGUUCGGUUUUACUUAACGAGUCCAAAGAAAUUUUAAUAUUUCAGUUUCGACCCCGUUUGUUCACCGAAAGUUCUACCGAACUGUAAUCUUUAUCAGAUAACUGUCGGAUUUUAUUUCUCACCUUCCGGGUGUCAGAAUGAUAUGAAAUUUUAAAUUUAGCCUCAUAAAAAUAAUCCUGACUUAUCCUCCAGUUUUCAGAAUUUUCUGACACUGUGCAUUUUCUGCUAAUUUAUCUGCCCCGUUUCACACAGAAAAUUCUAAAUCUUCUGUUUUCGCUCCGAUUUCAGCACAAGUCAUUCCCAACCUAUAUUUUACUUCUCUAAAUCCAAUAAAAAUAGUACCUCAUACUAUUUUUAUUUAUUUCCAUUUUUAUAUUUAAAAUCCGGUAUAUUACAUUCCACCGCAACCUCACCGGAAUUAUUUAAAUGUACACCGUAACUUCAUUGUUUUAGAAGUCCGGUACC
rnacentral:lncRNA from 1 species